rnacentral:rRNA from 1 species
AUUGAACGCUGGCGGCAUGCUUUACACAUGCAAGUCGAACGGCAGCGCGGGGCAACCUGGCGGCGAGUGGCGAACGGGUGAGUAAUACAUCGGAACGUACCCAGAAGUGGGGGAUAACGUAGCGAAAGUUACGCUAAUACCGCAUACGUUCUACGGAAGAAAGUGGGGGAUCUUCGGACCUCAUGCUUUUGGAGCGGCCGAUGUCUGAUUAGCUAGUUGGUGAGGUAAAGGCUCACCAAGGCGACGAUCAGUAGCUGGUCUGAGAGGACGACCAGCCAAAAUGCGACUGAGUGACAGGCCAGCCUCCAACGGGAGGCAGCAGUGGGGAAUUUUGUACAAUGGGCUCAAGCCUGAACCAGCAAUGCCGCGUUAGUGAAGAAGGCCUUCGGGUUGUAAAGCUCUUUUGUCAGGGAAGAAACGGCUGGGGCUAAUAUCCCCGGCUAAUGAUGGUACCUGAAGAAUAAGCACCGGCUAACUACGUGCCAGCAGCCGCCGUAA